UUUUAUGGAGAGUUUGAUCCUGGCUCAGGACGAACGCUGGCGGCGUGCUUAACACAUGCAAGUCGAACGGUAAGGCCCUUCGGGGUACACGAGUGGCGAACGGGUGAGUAACACGUGGGUAAUCUGCCCUGCACUUCGGGAUAAGCCUGGGAAACCGGGUCUAAUACCGGAUAUUCAGUUCCU
rnacentral:rRNA from 1 species